UAUGCCUAACAUGUGUCUGUAUGGUCAUAUACGAUUUUCAGCCAUAAUCGCUUGUAUUGAGUAUUGAGCAGUAUUAAGAUAUUUCAAGAAAGAACGCCAUUUUGAUGUGAAGAUUUUCUUUGUUAAAAGUCGCGCAAGACUAAAAUUUAUGCUCUAUUAGCAGGUGAUAUAAUUAGUGAUAUUUAAAAAAAAUUUGACCAAGUAAGAUGCCUUACUACAUGUAGUAGCUAAUAGUCGUAACACUGGAGUUUAUGAUAAUUGGGAGGACUGCAAAGAACAAGUACAUAGAUAUUCUAAAUGUGAUUUUAAAAAUUUGAUACAUCGGAUCAAGCUUGGGACUUUGUUGACCAACGUUCAUCAUCUUCGAAUAGAAAGGAAUAUGUUAAUCAUUCAGUACAAGUCGAACAAUAAAGCCAUAACUUCUAGAAGUGAUAAUCAAAUUGCAACAAGAGGAUUAGAAGAAGCCAGAGCUUAUAAACGAACUGAUUAUAUGGUACAA